rnacentral:lncRNA from 1 species
UAUUACCCUGGCCAGGCCUAGUCCUCCACUCCCUGCACAGGACUGAGAAGGCAAUGAAAGGUACAAACAUGUACCAUGAGGUCUUACUAACCAAAGUAGGGCUGCCCCUCCUGUCCUGACAGCCCCUUGGCCUCCCAGCAUGGGGAAGCGUGAGGAGUUGCCCAGCAGUGAGCAGCCCCCCUCACUCCUGGCCCCAUGAGCCGCAGCCACAGGCAGCAGAGGAGGGCUAAGGAGAGGAGGAAGCCUCAAGUCCAUUGUUUAUUACCCCGACUCUUAGCCCAGCACACAGUAGGCACUGGAGAGGAAUGAUUCCCAGUUUAACCACACUACGGUACCUUUUAUGAAGAAAAAUUA